rnacentral:rRNA from 1 species
GUUGGCCGGUAUGAAUGGCGUCACGAAGGCCCCACUGUCUUAAGAGGACUCUCCAUGAAAUUGAAUUCGUAGUGAAGAUGCUACGUCCAUAUUGUAAGACGAAAAGACCCCAUUGAGCUUUACUAAAGACUUGCAUGGCUCAAAAUAAUUUGACUUAAAUAAAGAGUUUAGAUAAUGUGGGACCCGUUUUCGGUUAAUGAAACACCACUCUUUUAUUUUAAGAGAGCUAACAUUACAGGGAUAGUGUAAGUUGGAUAGUUUGGUUGGGGCGACCACCUUUUAAAAGGUAACGAAGGUGAGCUUAAGGUCCGUAGUUAAUAGCCGGUGGCCUGACUGCAAGGGGGACGUCUCGAGCAGACACGUCCUUAGGGAUGUGGACUAUAGUGACCCGUCAUCUUAGUGUGGAAUAGUU